CUAAACGUACACGAAGCUGAACCCUAAUCACCUAGAAGAGGAAUCAGUACCAACUACCCACUGCAACUCAUUUCUUCUCUCUUCGCAGUCGCACAGCCACCAGCCCACCACCACCAAUCGAACAGUCCACCGCUAUCGCCACCGUAUCCCACAGCCACAGCAGCUACGGCUUUGACCACUGUAGCCACAGAGAUCGUGAAAGCGCGUACGGACAAGAGGGAUUACAGAAGGAUCAUCCUUCCCAACUCCCUUCAGGUCCUUCUCAUCUCCGAUUCCACGACAAGUGUGCUGCUUCCAUGGACGUUGGAGUAGGUUGCUUCAGCGACCCUGCUGGCCUCGAAGGCUUUGCCCAUUUCCUAGAGCACAUGCUGUUUUAUGCCAAUAAAAAAUAUCCGGUGGAAGAUAGCUACUUCAAGUAUAUCACUGAGGUACAAUUAACACUAAAAAAAAUGUCAUUCCUGGGAGUGUUUAUGAAUUUUGAUAUUGGUACUUCUCUCUGUGAAGUUAUUGAUUGAUUGUUUAGCCCUGCUGCUAUAUGUAUUCUGGUUGAACUCUCCAGUUUUGUUCCUCAUUA